rnacentral:rRNA from 1 species
UACGGAGGGUGCAAGCGUUAUCCGGCUUCACUGGGUUUAAAGGGUGCGUAGGUGGGCAGGUAAGUCAGUGGUGAAAUCCCCGAGCUUAACUUGGGAACUGCCGUUGAUACUAUCUGUCUUGAAUACUGUGGAGGUAAGCGGAAUAUGUCAUGUAGCGGUGAAAUGCUUAGAGAUGACAUAGAACACCAAUUGCGAAGGCAGCUUGCUACACAGUAAUUGACACUGAGGCACGAAAGCGUGGGGAGCAGACAGG